AUUUCUGAGUUAGGCAAUAGUUAGUUUUUAUCACGUUUAUCUGUAUGUUAUACUUAUAUGAUAAACUUACUUAAUAUGAGACUCGCUUGAACAUUAUACGCAUCAUGCAAUAAAACUAUAUUUAUCUUGAUUAUAAUUUAAAACAAUAUUUAUCAUUUAUCUGCCAUCUAGGUAAAGAAUUUAGUCACAAGAAACGUAGUUCUUGUUUUCUCCGUGGCGCUCUCGACCCAAACAAUGAAUUCCAACAUGGAGGCAAUGUGCUACACAGUUUGAAAAUGCAGGCCGUGUCAUGCUUUGAAAAAAAUCAUUUUAUAGUAGAUUUUGGUGGAAAAUGUCGGACCCUAAACGUGCUACUCUUAUAACAGUGGGUGCUCCAAAAAGUGCAAAGAACAAAGUGACGAAAACAGUGAGAUUAACUAUAAAUUUGGAUGAAAGCAACGAAAGUAAAUAUCCUGAGCUGAAUUACAAGGAACUAGUCAUAACAGAAGAGAGGAAAAAAAGAGUACAAAACGGCAAGACUGCAGGGCUGGACCCAUUCUCAGACAAUGAUGAUGAUGUGGAACGUGUUGCCAGGAAGUUUGAACAAAAAUAUGGUGGUAAGAGCACAUAUGGAAGGAAGGGACGUAAACGGGACGACUUUGCAGAUAUCGGAGCGGGAUAUGAUGAAAAUGAUUCUUUUAUUGAUAACACACAUGGUUAUGAUGAGAUGAUCCCUCCGGAAUGCGACACCCUGUAUGGUGGUUUCUACAUCAACAGUGGAUCGCUGGAAUUUAAAACAGUACCUGAUGGUCAGAAUGGCAAUUCUGAUGCUGAACCUUCAGCCAAUAGGAAGAAGAGAUGCCUAUCAUCAAGUAGUAGCGAAGAUGAAUCCUCAGAGAGCUCGUCAGAGUCUGAAAGUGCGGAAGAAAAGGAACCUAAAGCGAUAGCUAAUGGCGCCUUAGACUCCCAUGAGACUGAACAUCGAAAAAAGAAAAAUAAAAAGAUUGAUAAAAAGAAAGCAGACAAAAUCCGAAGAACAGAUUCGUCUGCGGCUACAUCUGGUAAACAAACCUCUGAUGAUAAUGCUCCCGCAGAUGCUGAAAGUGCAGAUUCAAGAACAUCACAAUCAGAUUCCCUCACGUCUAAACCAGCCCCGAGCUCGGAGAAUGCAAUAACUUCUGACAGCUCAAGGGAUGUGGAAGCGAAAGUGGAAGUGAAACUUCCCCAGGUGGUGUGCCAAGUGCUGGAGGAACUGGAGGCGUUAGUGCAACUCCUACACUCCGCAAACACCUCCUCUGAUGAUAUAGAGGCUAAGACAGACUCUUAUAUUGUCAGAUUGGAGCGGGCACUGUCAGAGAACAGCGUGAAUAGUCGCGUUCAGCGCAGCGCAUGGGGCAAGGCGGCGCGCCUGCUGCGUGUCAGCCGGCACCGCCUGCAGCAACGUGCCGCCAAACACACAGACACACAGACUGCCAACACAGCACCAACCACAAUUGCUCAAACCAUAGUCAACACGAUUACAACAACAUCUGUUACAACAACAACAACUACAACAGUUAACACAACAAGCAACAAACGUAAAUAUGAAGAUGAUGACGUCACGGAUACAAGCAGAUUGUCAGCUGACGAAAAGGAGGCUAAAAUUGUUGAAACAUUACAAAGGUUAAAGACACUAAUUGAAGAACGCAGGCCAGGAAUGAUAGCGAACUACAAUGCAGAGUGUGAGAGAGUACAAGAGGAAAGAAAAAAGAUCCAGAUUGCAUCUCGAUCGGAAGGCGCGCCUAUGAUAGAGAAGCGGUUACCAAAGCGCAGGUUCCCCUGGUGUACCCGCAGCAGAGCUCUGCUCGCGCGGUUGGCGCGGCUGGCGGGCUCGGAGGCGGCUGAUUUAUUGGCGAGGAGAGCGCUGCCCUUGUUCCCUAAGGGUUUUGUCAGAAUGCCUACGUUACUACGACAAGCGGAUCUCAGCAAAGAAAUGAAAGCCGUGGAAACGAAACGUCAACGUAUGAAUACCGAAACACAACCAGUUAUCAACCCACAACCAGUGUCGUACACGGAACAAAUACAAUUCCCCAGUUCACUAACGGUUACUACAAGUGUCAAAACAACGGACAAACAGGAGCCAGAAGAUAAAGAUUCAAAAUACAAAAUAAAUCCAGCUGUAUUCGGCAAAAUAAUCAAUAGUUAUUCAAUAAGCAAUGAUCUUAUUGUAGAAAAAGCUGAAGAUAAAAAAAAAGAUACCGCAGAUAAAAGUAAAGAAGAUAUUUACAUUCCUUCAAAUAACAUCGGCUGUAUAACUAUAACUCCAGUGCCAAAUCAACAGAAACCUUAUAAAAAAAAUAACAUUAUUACAGAUAAAAAAGAACCCUUAUUAAAAGUUAAAUCACCGGCCGCGUUAAAUGAAAUGGUAAAAAAAGAUAAACAUAAAAAGCCGGAAAAGAAGAAAAAUAGAGUAGAAUCACCUCUACAUAUAGAAACAGGUUACCAGAAUAAAGAACCAACACCUAGUCCUAAGUCAAAAGAAGAAAUAACACAGAAGCAAUUAGAAAAUAUGAGAACAGCGGAGAACAAUCUACCACGGCCAGCAUUAAUCCCAGUACAUCAUUCUCCAACCUUUGCGAAACCGGAUAAGAGGCCUCCGGAAGUAAAGAAAAAGAAAGAUGUGAUGAUAGUGUCUGAUGUAGAUCCUUUAGGUGAUGUACAACAAGAACCUGUAGCUAUAGAUGAUAGUAGUAGUGACAUAGAAGUUGUAGAAGAGAAGACGGACAAAAGUGACAAGAAUACAGUGCCUUUGAAAGACAAAGUGUGUGUGAGAGACGAUAAAGUGAACAGUGUUAAAAAGGACUCUAAAGAUGGUAAAGAGUGUCGACAGAAUUAUUUAGAAGAAUCAACAAAUGAAGAUAUGGAUAAUCUUAUGAGAAAUAUUAUAGCUAUGGAGCAUUCACAAGAACCUGCCAAGUUAAAUUGCAACUCAUAUGGGGGAGUCAUAACUAGUGCAAAGCACGAGGUGUCUUCCAAACAAUACAACGCAAGGAAUGCUAUAUUUGGGGAUCAGCGUAGCGAUAAAGACAAAUUGUAUAUUUCCUGGCCUUAAUCAAUAUUGACGUGUAUAAAAAGUAAAUUUCUCCAAAGGACUAACUUCUUUGAACAAAAUGGAUGGAUGUAGCGUCAUCACAGGUUAAUAUGGUAUAAUGAGAAUUAAAUGUGAGUACACUUAGUAAUAUUGUGCAGCAGUGUACCGCCGCUGCAGACUGCGUCCACAACAGUCCACCCCAUUUUUGUAUCAUCGGAUUAGUAUAUAAAUUUGUAAAUGUCCGCUAAAGAGAAAAUUGCUGCCACAAAUAAUAAUGUUUAAACCGGUCUUAGUGUAGAUUUUACAUUAAAUUCACACUAAGGCAUGCCCUUAGUGACAGCAUUAUUGGGUAUGGCAGUUUAUUAAAAUUUAAGACAAGCAUCCGACACUUGGGGAUUUCAAAUUUAGUUUUUUUUUUGGCUGGAAAUUCUUCUUUUUAUUAUGUUUAAUCAUGUUUUUUAUUUUAUUUAUAUUUGAAAUGCAAGUGUCUGAUUGAUUUAUGUUCGCAUUAUUAUGUAAAUGUCACUAUAGUAAUUGAACUUACCGUAGGUUUCUGAGACUACAAUCUCUGUAUAAAACAUAUCAUUCCUGUAUCUUUGACAAAACAGAGAUAAUAUGUUUUAAACGGAGAUUUUAGUCUCAGAAACCUACGGAUAGUAAUUUCUGUUACAUUACGAUUGGAAAGUUAGAUUGUUAUCGCAGUAGGGUUAUUAAACUGGAUUUAACUGCUUUUUAUCUCAAAUUAAUUUCUAUAUAACAAUAAAAUAUGUAUGUUCUUUUUUUUCUAAACUCAACUACUACUAUCUUUCACCUUUCCCUACCAAUUUUUAUGUUUAGUACGAUUAUAAAAUGACUUUACAAUCUGCAAAUGACAUAUGUUACUGUUUAUGAGUGAAAAUAUAAAUGAUUGGGUUUAUUAUGUUGAUAUUUUGAUUUUUACCUUUGUAGUAGGAAACAUCAUCGCAAAUUUGCAAUUAUAAUGCGAACUUAAAUGCUUGUCAGUGUGUACAGUCAGCUGCAUGAAGUUACAUUUAUAAAAUAUACUUGAAACAUGGUACAUACAAGUCUGUAAUUUAUAAUUGUAUAAAUAUUUAUGCAGCUGACUGUACAUAACCUGAGCCUGUAUAGAAGACACGUAUUUUGUAUAAAUUAGAUUAUAAUAUAGUUUUACACGAUCCCCUUUCCUAUUUACAUGACUGCUCCACAACUCCUUUUCUUAUAGGUUGUAAUGCAUAGACUGUCACAUGACUAAAAAUUCAACUGUCGUGGCAUUUGAUAUUGCUGUCCCUUUUAUUGUUGAAAAGAAUGAAAGGGAUGACAUUAUAUAGUACAUGUGUGACGUCAGUGGAAUUCAAUGGUUAGAGAUCACUGACGUCUAUAUAUGGAUAGGCUACGAACAGUUGUAUUUUGUGCCAAUUUCAUUUUCGCCAUUUUGGUUCUGACGGUUACGGUAGCGGAACUUCAACAGGAGGGUUUAAAUCGAAACGAAGCAAGAGCUGUUGCCAAGCUUUAGCCUAUCCAUUUAUAAUCAGUGUUAGACAUAAAUCUAUUAGACUGUAAAGUAAUUGAGUAUUAAAGUUUAUUGACUGAAUUCUAAUGAUUUAAGAGUUAAAAAUCAAAUGUCAAAUGAAUUUUAAAUGUCAAAAAUGACGUUUCCAAGUCUAGUAACUGAAUCCAAUUAUUUAUGUUGAUGUAUUUUUUUUUAAUUAUAAGGUGGCAAAUGAGCAAGCGGUCGCCUAAUUUCGCUGAAAUAGCGAACUGACCGCUAGACAUCCGCAACUGCAAAUGCCUAUCUUUAAACGUAGGAGAAAUUAACGAUGAAACGUUAAAUGCUUUAUCAACUGUAAACUUUUAAUGAUACAAAAUAUGGCUUCCAUUCUUAAAAUUGGCGCGAAUUUUUUGAGCGCGUAAGUCGAAUGUUUAAUUGUUUUUGGUUUUUCCGUGAAUUGAAAAAGUUUAAAUGUAUUUUAGAAAUCGUGGAGCAGUGUUUUUACGCCAUUGAUUGAGCCUUGAUUUAUUGCGGGGAGCGAAUUAUUUUUCGAGCAAGCUCUCAGAAGUAUUGUUUUGUUUUUAUUAUACCAAAAUUCCAAAUUAUGUCCUGUGUAAUGAAAUAAAUAUUUAUAAUGAAUUAACCA